rnacentral:rRNA from 1 species
CCUACGGGAGGCAGCAGUGAGGAAUAUUGCACAAUGGGCGAAAGCCUGAUGCAGCGACGCCGCGUGGAGGAUGAAGGAUUUCGGUCUGUAAACUCCUGUCAGUAGGGAAGAGAAUGGACGGUACCUACUGAGGAAGCUUCGGCUAACUACGUGCCAGCAGCCGCGGUAAGACGUAGGAAGCAAGCGUUGUCCGGAAUUACUGGGCGUAAAGAGCUCGUAGGCGGGAUCGUAAGUCUUAGAGUAAAUCUCACGGCUCAACCGUGGGGCCUUCUGAGAUACUGCGAUUCUUGAGGAUGUCAGAGGAAAGUAGAAUUCCCGGUGUAGCGGUGAAAUGCGUAGAUAUCGGGAGGAAUACCAGUGGCGAAGGCGACUUUCUGGGACAUUCCUGACGCUGAGGAGCGAAAGCGUGGGGAGCAAACGGGAUUAGAUACCCCGGUAGUCCACGCGGUAAACGAUGGAUAUUAGGUGUGGGAGGUAUCGACUCCUUCCGUGCCGUCGCUAACGCAUUAAAUAUCCCGCCUGGGGAGUACGGUCGCAAGGCUGAAACUCAAAKGAAUUGACGG